AGACAACUCGUUUUAUGACAUUGCAAUUGUGUGUUUAAUUGCUAUACAAGGAUUAACAAUAAGUAUUGCAGUAGGGAUAUGCGCAUAUAAACUUCACAAUAAAAACGGCUUAGCCAGGACAACAUCUAGCCAAAGUAAAGUGAAAACUAUAAUACCGACUGUACAAGUUCAAAGAAAGGAGACUUAUGAAAUCGUGAAAUUUGAAAGAAGGGGCGCAAGCGGAGUUUAUGACAAAGCGGAUAUGGAAAGUAAUG